rnacentral:piRNA from 1 species
UGAUGAGAGUUAGGCAGCAUGG